GAUCAGGUGGCGGAAUGGUAGACGCUAUGGCAACCACAUCUUGCAGGUUCGAUUCCUGCCCUGAUCA
rnacentral:tRNA from 1 species